UUUGCCUCAAAGUAAAUGAGCUAGUGGA
rnacentral:piRNA from 1 species